AAUAUUGGACAAUGGGCGAAAGCCUGCUCCAGCCAUGCCGUGUGUUUUAAGAAGGUCGUCGUAUUGUAUAGCACAUUAAUUUGGGAGGAAGGGCAGUAAGUUAAUACCUUUCUGUUUUGUCGUUACCUACAAAAUAAGAACCGGCUAACUUCGUCCCAACAGCAGCGGUAAUACGAAGGGUGCAAGCGUUAAUCGGAAUUACUGGGCUUAAAGCGCGAGUGGGUGGUUUGUUAAGUUGGAAGUGAAAGCCACGGGCUCAACCUGGGAACUGCUUUCAAAACUGGCCAGCUAGAGUAUGGCAGAGGGAAGUGGAAUUUCCUGUGUAGCGGUGAAAUGCGUAGAUAUAGGAAGGAACACCAGUGGCGAAGGCGACCACCUGGGCUAAUACUUACACUGAGGUGCGAAAGCGUGGGGAGCAAACA
rnacentral:rRNA from 1 species